AGAAACAGCUGUAAGGUUCAGACUGGUUGGAUUUCAAAAAUUUCCAAAGAUGGAGACAGCCCUUAACUCUCAGUUGAGAGGAGAGUGAUGGCAUGGUUUGGUGGCCACCUGGCAUCCAGACAAAGUCAACUACCACACAAAUUAUUAAUUUUCCGUGGAUAUUUUGAAAUCUGUCAUCUUAUAGGUAAGAAGGUUUUUCAGGUCAAAUGAAAUUCUCUCUAGCAAAGAACCUACAGCAAAACUUGCUCUGAUAAAAGACUUUCAUCAUUACAGACUGAAUCUGGUCACUUUAAUAAGUAUGAAAUAGAGAACACAAAGGUGAAAUCAUAUGGAUUUGCUCAUAGUGUAAGGUGCUGCUCAGUGUAAGAAUAACAGAACUAGGCUCAAGAGAGCUUUUCACUGUGUUACCAGCUUUAGAAAGCUUCAAUUUGCAGUUAACAGAACUUAGGAAUCUCUUUUCACAUUUGGUCUUAUAUGAUUGCAAAAACUUUUAAGAAUGGUUAUGUAAUUUUGAGGAAGAGUCAGCAGAACAUACAUCUGCUUUGAAAGGGACUUUGGAAAAAAGUCUUUUUCAAAGUGUUUGGGAAAAAAUGUAUACUGAUAUCUAAGAAUUAAUAUUAAAUAGGAGAUGGUCCCUUUUCUAUUUAAUUUCAAAAGCAGAAGCAAAUUAUGUCCUGUGACAAAGCCCAAAGGAAAUCAUUAAUGGAUACAUAAGUGCAUGAAGGUCAAUGAGAGGAUAUAUUCUUCCUAGAGAAUAAUAAUAAAUAAUGUGAUAUGUCUAAGGAGUACCGCUGCUCAGCUGGCAGUCAAAUUGUUUCCAAUGAAGAAAUCUGAUGAAGCAGUUUUCUUUUCUUGUACUGCUAAUUGCAUCGUAGUUUAUGAUCUGUUCACAGACUAUUGUCAGUAUUCUUUUGCAACACUCUUUCUUUUUUUUUCUUCUGUAAAUUUCAAGAAGUGCAUACAUUGUUUUAUCUGAGUGGCACCUGGCUAUAUCUCAUGGCACUAACCUUCUCCUGAAUGCUAACUAGUGUUCUCCAAAGAUUCCAAAGAAAACUAUAUGCAACACUGUCCAUAUUAUGGCCAUGGAGACAGAAGACAUUAUAGUACAGAUCCUGAGACAGAAGCAUUUGAGCAUCCAUCAAUAUUUUAUGCAAAUAAGAGUUGUUCACACACAAUUAUUUUCAUCACAGAAGGAAAAUACUCAGUGCAUUCCAUCAGCCUGCCCUACUAAACCAGUCAUCUAUCAGGGUCUGUUUGUGCAUGCACUAUAAAAUCCGUCUCCCACUUGUUAACAUAACAGCUCUCAAGACACCUUACAGUGUAAGGACUGAAAGAGAAUCAUACACAGAUUUACACAGAUGAAUACCUGAGACCUGCAGGUAUACACAAAGACCAGAGUGAGUAGCUUUUACUGAUGAAAGUUCUUCACUCAGGACAGCAGCCAUAUUCACUGCACCUAGCAUGAAAUCUGUUCUCAAACAAUGACCAAAAUGAAUGCCUAGAGUCAAGUGUAAAAUGAAAGCAAGGACACUUCUACUGAGGACUAUAUUAGCUUUGAAUAAUGUGCAGUUUAUAAUUUCCUUUUCCAGAAUGGUUUGUCAGUAUUUAGUAAUCCACAGUAGAUUUCUAUGCCAUUAUUUUUUCCAAUCUUCCCAUGAAAUGUGUAAGCUCUUAGCAACCACCCAGAGAUGAUGAUUUCCACACCUAUGCUUUAUAUUAGAAACUACUAAUACAGCUAAUGCCACCCAAAAACUUCCACUAAAUCACAAGAAGGGUCAGCAUUUACUAUAUUUGGAAAAUUCAGUCUUACUGUAGUUCGGCUAUUAUUCAAACCAGUUUUAGACCAUGAGUCUUAGAACUAGAGUUAUUUAAAUGAAAUUAUAGUCCAUGCUCUGAAAUUAUGACAGUUUAUGAGAACAGUAUAGGAUAAAAAAUUAGAAAAUGUUUCAAAUGCAAUUGCUGUCACAAGGAAAACAGCCCAUUCAAAUUGUGUGUAUCUUCUUGAUAGCGUACCCUUGUACAGCAGCUUUAUUUUUCUGUAGCUGGCAUUUAGGCUGUACAAACACCUAAGGCUGGGAAAAAACCUACAGGAAAAUGGUCUGUCACACAGUAAUAUUUACAGAAACAAGCCAUUUUGCAGCCAUGUGGAGUUUAAUGUAUCAAUAGCUUUACUCUUGUUGUGCAUUAACUACAGUUAAGUUGUAACAAGAAGCCUCCUUCACCUGUGGUGCAUCUGACAGGACACAGCAUCAACAUCUUGUAGCACCCAUAAUAUACAGAAUAUAAUGAGUUCUCUCUCAGAAGAGAGAAACCCUUGCCUAACACUUUUAAAAUACUUGAUGAAAAUCAGUUUGGAAACCUUUGAGGUCAGCUACCUCUACAUAAAAAUCCGGAUUUCCCCUUCUAAUCCUUUCUCUGAUAUUCCCUCACACACAGCUCUUAAAAUAUCUUUAAUGCAAGUGAAUUUCACAUAUUAGCUGCUUCUUUGGCUUGCUCAGACUGUUGCCUGAAGGGCCCUAUCUUAAUUUUUCAUUCAAGUCACUUUUUAGAUCCCCAAAGAUAUUAAUGGUGCAAGAUGAAGCAUUAAAAGUCUUACCCUUUAAAGUUACUUCCUAAAAUAUUACCUAAAUAUUCCUCUACUGCGUAUUCAAUUUCCAGAUUUUUUUCUGAUUUUUUUUCUACUCAAUUUAUAUUUCUCAGAGUUAAUAGCCUAUGUUGAUGGUAGAGAGACACUACAGUAAAUAAUUUUAUAACCACCUCUGUAACUCUCAUUCUUUACCUCUGAGGUAUUUGUAUGCAGUCAUAUCACUCUUUAUAGUCUUUCCUUCAAGCAGCAGCAUAGUAUAUUAAAUUGUCUUAAUCUCUUCUCAUAUGUCACAGCCUCUAAUCAUUCUCUCUGGAUUUUUUUCUAAGUUUAUAAAAUGUUCUUUCCAUAUUGUACAUAUUCACAGGGGAUUCAAAGUGCAGUAGCAGCAACAGGCUACAGCUUACUGGGACCUAUAAAGGUUCACAUGAUCAUUCUCAUUUAAAUUCACUGAAGAAUGACAGUUACAUUUUGUUGAAGCAACACACUGGAAAAUAAAGUCUUAUCUGUCAGUCACAGUGUCCAUGAGUCUCUUCUGCUCCUCCUGCACAGAGAGUUCUCUGAUAGGGCAGAGGUACAAAAUCAGGUAAUCUUUCUGCCUGGCAGCC